rfam:Ashbya gossypii ATCC 10895 chromosome V, complete sequence.
GAAUCAAAACUCACGGAAACUAUGCCACAGUUAGCUUUAUCUGCCUUGCCGCAGCUGCUAAUUGCCAGCCAUUCCAACUAGGUUGGAAUGCUUGUUUCCCAGAUCAAGGUGGACUGAUAGGAAGUUCGUGGGCCGUGUGCCUGGACUCUCGGAUUUGAGAGUCGGCGGCGAUGGCCCAGGAAUGUCGAAGAAAGGCUACAUUU